rnacentral:rRNA from 1 species
GACGAACGCUGGCGGCGUGCUUAACACAUGCAAGUCGAACGGAAAGGCCCUGCUUUUGUGGGGUGCUCGAGUGGCGAACGGGUGAGUAACACGUGAGUAACCUGCCCUUGACUUUGGGAUAACUUCAGGAAGCUGGGGCUAAUACCGGAUAGGAGCUCCUGCUGCAUGGUGGGGGUUGGAAAGUUUCGGCGGUUGGGGAUGGACUCGCGGCUUAUCAGCUUGUUGGUGGGGUAGUGGCUUACCAAGGCUUUGACGGGUAGCCGGCCUGAGAGGGUGACCGGCCACAUUGGGACUGAGAUACGGCCCAGACUCCUACGGGAGGCAGCAGUGGGGAAUAUUGCACAAUGGGCGGAAGCCUGAUGCGGCAACGCCGCGUGCGGGAUGACGGCCUUCGGGUUGUAAACCGCUUUCGCCUGUGACGAAGCGUGAGUGACGGUAAUGGGUAAAGAAGCACCGGCUAACUACGUG